rnacentral:rRNA from 1 species
GACGGAGGGUGCUAGCGUUGUUCGGAAUCACUGGGCGUAAAGGGCGCGUAGGCGGCCUUGCAAGUCGGUUGGUGAAAGCCCGGGGCUCAACCCCGGAGGUGCGGCCGAGACUGCAGGACUGGAGGCCGGAAGAGGAGGGUGGAAUACCCAGUGUAGAGGUGAAAUUCGUAGAUAUUGGGUGGAACACCGGUGGCGAAAGCGGCUCUCUGGUCCGGACCUGACGCUGAGGCGCGAAAGCGUGGGGAGCAAACAGG